UACGGGGGGGGCAAGCGUUGUUCGGAAUUACUGGGCGUAAAGGGCUCGUAGGCGGCCAACUAAGUCAGACGUGAAAUCCCUCGGCUUAACCGGGGAACUGCGUCUGAUACUGGAUGGCUUGAGUUCGGGAGAGGGAUGUGGAAUUCCAGGUGUAGCGGUGAAAUGCGUAGAUAUCUGGAGGAACACCGGUGGCGAAGGCGGCAUCCUGGACCGGUAUUGACGCUGAGGCGCGAAAGCUAGGGGAGCAAACGGG
rnacentral:rRNA from 1 species